rnacentral:misc_RNA from 1 species
CCGAGUUUACAACUCCCAAACCCAUGUGAACAUACCUGUCUUGUUGCUUCGGCGGCGCCCCUCGCCCUCACAGGCUGGGGCCCGCCAGAGGACCCAAAACAAACUCUUUGCAUUUGAAUACAGUAUUCUGAGUGGCAUGAUUAAAUAAAAUCA